rnacentral:rRNA from 1 species
AGAGUUUGAUCCUGGCUCAGGAUGAACGCUGGCGGCGUGCUUAACACAUGCAAGUCGAACGAAGCACUUUAUUUGAUUUCUUCGGAAUGAAGAUUUUGUGACUGAGUGGCGGACGGGUGAGUAACGCGUGGGUAACCUGCCUCAUACAGGGGGAUAACAGUUGGAAACGACUGCUAAUACCGCAUAAGCGCACGGUGUCGCAUGACACAGUGUGAAAAACUCCGGUGGUAUGAGAUGGACCCGCGUCUGAUUAGCUAGUUGGUGGGGUAACGGCCUACCAAGGCGACGAUCAGUAGCCGACCUGAGAGGGUGACCGGCCACAUUGGGACUGAGACACGGCCCAAACUCCUACGGGAGGCAGCAGUGGGGAAUAUUGCACAAUGGGGGAAACCCUGAUGCAGCGACGCCGCGUGAGUGAAGAAGUAUUUCGGUAUGUAAAGCUCUAUCAGCAGGGAAGAAAAUGACGGUACCUGACUAAGAAGCACCGGCUAAAUACGUGCCAGCAGCCGCGGUAAUACGUAUGGUGCAAGCGUUAUCCGGAUUUACUGGGUGUAAAGGGAGCGCAGGCGGUGCGGCAAGUCUGAUGUGAAAGCCCGGGGCUCAACCCCGGUACUGCAUUGGAAACUGUCGUACUAGAGUGUCGGAGGGGUAAGUGGAAUUCCUAGUGUAGCGGUGAAAUGCGUAGAUAUUAGGAGGAACACCAGUGGCGAAGGCGGCUUACUGGACGAUAACUGACGCUGAGGCUCGAAAGCGUGGGGAGCAAACAGGAUUAGAUACCCUGGUAGUCCACGCCGUAAACGAUGAUUACUAGGUGUGGGGGGACUGACCCCUUCCGUGCCGGAGUUAACACAAUAAGUAAUCCACCUGGGGAGUACGACCGCAAGGUUGAAACUCAAAGGAAUUGACGGGGGCCCGCACAAGCGGUGGAGCAUGUGGUUUAAUUCGAAGCAACGCGAAGAACCUUACCAAGUCUUGACAUCCCGAUGACAGAACAUGUAAUGUGUUUUCUCUUCGGAGCAUCGGUGACAGGUGGUGCAUGGUUGUCGUCAGCUCGUGUCGUGAGAUGUUGGGU